AAGUUCCUGAGGUGUUCGAUAAUUUCUGUAUUUUUGAACCUACAACACUUUAAAAGGGAUUCCUAUAUCUGUAGCUGGAUGUCGGGCCGUCACUGCGCAUAUACCAUGCUGUAUAUGGGUACUUAGUUAAACUAGCAACGGAAGGCAGAAGGUUACAUGCGGUUGCCCACCUAGCUUUUGCUAGGAGUCAAAAAACAGAAACCGGCAUCUUGGGGCUCC
rnacentral:other from 1 species